GCGACAAUAGCUCAGUUGGUAGAGCGGGAGUUUCCCAAACUCUAGGUCGCGGGUUCGAUUCCCGCUUGUCGCUCCA
rnacentral:tRNA from 1 species